rnacentral:rRNA from 1 species
CAAAGCACUUUGAAGAGAGAGUUAAAGAGGACGUGAAACCGGUGAGGUGGAAACGGACAGAGCCGGCGUAUCUGGCCUGUAUUCAGCCGCGUGCUCGCUGCCGUCUCGUGUGCAUGUCUCCAGAUUGGGACUGUGCGCGGUCUGACGGCGGGUGUGYGGUGCAUUUGCAGGUGGAGUGCGCUGAGGCGUUCGGUGCAGCGGCAUAAACUCGGUUCUGAGGCCAGCCCAGCAAUGGGUCUGGAACCCGUGCCGUGGGGAGUGUUGUUUGCGCUGGAUGUGCGGUGGGCAAUGGUCACGGGCCCGUGUGGGUGCCGAGCUGGCGGUGGGUGGCGGUCGCAUGCGACACGUGCCGGCAGUCAGUUCGGUCCUGCUCGAGCUCUCACAUGCUCGUCCUCGGUGUAAAAGCCGGUCAUCUGUCCGACCCGUCUUGAAACACGGACCAAGGAGUUUAGCGUGUGCGCGAGUCAUUGGGCGUUGAAAACCCAAAGGCGCAAUGAAAGUGAAGGCAUCCCUUGUGGAGCUGAUGUGUGAUCCUGGCCACCGCGGUGUGCCGGGCGCAACAUGGUCCCG